GCUAUUUUGGCAGAUAAUAUGUCCUAGAUUUAGAAUCUAGUAAAAUAGAGUAAUAUUCUAUAAAUAGUAAAACUAAUUAAAAUGCUAAUUGUUUU
rnacentral:tRNA from 1 species